AAGCGCUGGUGGCCUAGCGGUAAAAGCGUGCGACUUGCAAUCCGGAGGUCGCGGGUUCAAACCCCGGCUCGAACCAAUGAGUUUUUCGGAACUUAUGUACGAAAUAUCAUUUGAUAUUUACCAGUCGCUUUUCGGGCCUAAUUUACCCUCUGGGUUGGGAGGUCAGAUGGCAGUCGCUUUCGUAAAAACUAGUGCCCACGCCAAUUCCUGGGAUUAGUUGCCAAGCGGACCCCAGGCUCCCAUGAGCCGUGGCAAAAUGCCGGGACAACGCGAGGAAGA